CAUAGGUUAAUGAGGCGAACCGGGGGAACUGAAACAUCUAAGUACCCCGAGGAAAAGAAAUCAACCGAGAUUCCCCCAGUAGCGGCGAGCGAACGGGGAGCAGCCCAGAGCCUGAAUCAGUGUGUGUGUUAGUGGAAGCGUCUGGAAAGGCGCGCGAUACAGGGUGACAGCCCCGUACACAAAAAUGCACAUGCUGUGAGCUCGAUGAGUAGGGCGGGACACGUGGUAUCCUGUCUGAAUAUGGGGGGACCAUCCUCCAAGGCUAAAUACUCCUGACUGACCGAUAGUGAACCAGUACCGUGAGGGAAAGGCGAAAAGAACCCCGGCGAGGGGAGUGAAAAAGAACCUGAAACCGUGUACGUACAAGCAGUGGGAGCACGCUUAGGCGUGUGACUGCGUACCUUUUGUAUAAUGGGUCAGCGACUUAUAUUCUGUAGCAAGGUUAACCGAAUAGGGGAGCCGAAGGGAAACCGAGUCUUAACUGGGCGUUAAGUUGCAGGGUAUAGACCCGAAACCCGGUGAUCUAGCCAUGGGCAGGUUGAAGGUUGGGUAACACUAACUGGAGGACCGAACCGACUAAUGUUGAAAAAUUAGCGGAUGACUUGUGGCUGGGGGUGAAAGGCCAAUCAAACCGGGAGAUAGCUGGUUCUCCCCGAAAGCUAUUUAGGUAGCGCCUCGUGAAUUCAUCUCCGGGGGUAGAGCACUGUUUCGGCAAGGGGGUCAUCCCGACUUACCAACCCGAUGCAAACUGCGAAUACCGGAGAAUGUUAUCACGGGAGACACACGGCGGGUGCUAACGUCCGUCGUGAAGAGGGAAACAACCCAGACCGCCAGCUAAGGUCCCAAAGUCAUGGUUAAGUGGGAAACGAUGUGGGAAGGCCCAGACAGCCAGGAUGUUGGCUUAGAAGCAGCCAUCAUUUAAAGAAAGCGUAAUAGCUCACUGGUCGAGUCGGCCUGCGCGGAAGAUGUAACGGGGCUAAACCAUGCACCGAAGCUGCGGCAGCGACGCUUAUGCGUUGUUGGGUAGGGGAGCGUUCUGUAAGCCUGCGAAGGUGUGCUGUGAGGCAUGCUGGAGGUAUCAGAAGUGCGAAUGCUGACAUAAGUAACGAUAAAGCGGGUGAAAAGCCCGCUCGCCGGAAGACCAAGGGUUCCUGUCCAACGUUAAUCGGGGCAGGGUGAGUCGACCCCUAAGGCGAGGCCGAAAGGCGUAGUCGAUGGGAAACAGGUUAAUAUUCCUGUACUUGGUGUUACUGCGAAGGGGGGACGGAGAAGGCUAUGUUGGCCGGGCGACGGUUGUCCCGGUUUAAGCGUGUAGGCUGGUUUUCCAGGCAAAUCCGGAAAAUCAAGGCUGAGGCGUGAUGACGAGGCACUACGGUGCUGAAGCAACAAAUGCCCUGCUUCCAGGAAAAGCCUCUAAGCAUCAGGUAACAUCAAAUCGUACCCCAAACCGACACAGGUGGUCAGGUAGAGAAUACCAAGGCGCUUGAGAGAACUCGGGUGAAGGAACUAGGCAAAAUGGUGCCGUAACUUCGGGAGAAGGCACGCUGAUAUGUAGGUGAAGUCCCUCGCGGAUGGAGCUGAAAUCAGUCGAAGAUACCAGCUGGCUGCAACUGUUUAUUAAAAACACAGCACUGUGCAAACACGAAAGUGGACGUAUACGGUGUGACGCCUGCCCGGUGCCGGAAGGUUAAUUGAUGGGGUCAGCGCAAGCGAAGCUCUUGAUCGAAGCCCCGGUAAACGGCGGCCGUAACUAUAACGGUCCUAAGGUAGCGAAAUUCCUUGUCGGGUAAGUUCCGACCUGCACGAAUGGCGUAAUGAUGGCCAGGCUGUCUCCACCCGAGACUCAGUGAAAUUGAACUCGCUGUGAAGAUGCAGUGUACCCGCGGCAAGACGGAAAGACCCCGUGAACCUUUACUAUAGCUUGACACUGAACAUUGAGCCUUGAUGUGUAGGAUAGGUGGGAGGCUUUGAAGUGUGGACGCCAGUCUGCAUGGAGCCGACCUUGAAAUACCACCCUUUAAUGUUUGAUGUUCUAACGUUGACCCGUAAUCCGGGUUGCGGACAGUGUCUGGUGGGUAGUUUGACUGGGGCGGUCUCCUCCUAAAGAGUAACGGAGGAGCACGAAGGUUGGCUAAUCCUGGUCGGACAUCAGGAGGUUAGUGCAAUGGCAUAAGCCAGCUUGACUGCGAGCGUGACGGCGCGAGCAGGUGCGAAAGCAGGUCAUAGUGAUCCGGUGGUUCUGAAUGGAAGGGCCAUCGCUCAACGGAUAAAAGGUACUCCGGGGAUAACAGGCUGAUACCGCCCAAGAGUUCAUAUCGACGGCGGUGUUUGGCACCUCGAUGUCGGCUCAUCACAUCCUGGGGCUGAAGUAGGUCCCAAGGGUAUGGCUGUUCGCCAUUUAAAGUGGUACGCGAGCUGGGUUUAGAACGUCGUGAGACAGUUCGGUCCCUA
rnacentral:rRNA from 1 species